UUAGAAGCCUGGCUGAAGCGUAGGAUGAAGCCGGGUGGAGGAGCGGGCGGGGCUUGCGUAAGAAGGGCUCGCGGCCCGACUUCCACUCUGCAAUCAGGACCCUGGAGCUCAGCUCUUGGGCUGGCGCUGGCUCUCAGCUGUUCAACUGAGUUCAUCUACCCUUCCCAGACCAAGAGAGGAUGGUUGACUUCUUUUUCCUGAUUCAGCCUCUCACUUCUCUCACCUGGAGUUAGUUCAGGUGCCAUCUAUUAGAGGGAUAGUGGCCACUGACAUCCAUUCUGCAUGGCCAUGAAUAUUUAUUGUCAUAUCCCUGCACCAGACAGAGUUGGGAAAGAGGGGUUAUGAGGAGGCUUUUCUUCCACACCAGAUGACUGUUGUCCCUCCUCAGCCCAACUGAAGAAAUGAAGUGGAUUGGUCUUCAGCGUGUCCUGGAGAAUGGAGUACUGGGAUUGACCAUUACUAAAGUGUAACUGAUAGCCCAUUGGAAACAAAGAACGGAGGGAGUACUUUCCAAGGAAUCAGGUGACGGGAGAAGGUAAGUACGCUAAACAAUAGAAGUCACAGAUGAUACAGUUGAUGCACAAGUCAUCUCCCAUUAUAACUCUUCUGAGGCUGAAUAUAAAGGUAGCUGGU